UACGUAGGGACCAAGCGUUGUUCGGAUUUACUGGGCGUAAAGGGCGCGUAGGCGGCGUGUUAAGUCAGCUGUGAAAUCUCCGAGCUUAACUCGGAACGGUCAGCUGAUACUGAUGUGCUAGAGUGCAGAAGGGCAAUCGGAAUUCUUGGUGUAGCGGUGAAAUGCGUAGAUAUCAAGAGGAACACCUGAGGUGAAGACGGGUUGCUGGGCUGACACUGACCGCUGGAGGCGACGAAAGCCAGGGAGCAAACGGG
rnacentral:rRNA from 1 species